AAUAGAGAAGAAGACGUGGAAAUGAGUGAGAUGUCUAAAAGUGCAGGCACACAGAGGUGCUAUGUUGGGGGAGCAGGCCCACAUCGGCCACUGAGAGAGAAGCGGCGCCUUUGCUCGCCAGAGUCGACGAAAGACAGACUCUUCUUCCGCGGCGUAGCGGGGCUCAGAUGAAAACACAGGCAGGAAGCGGCUCACGUGUAUUCAGUGCGUGCUGCCUCCCCCCCAGCACCGUCUGAAACUCCGGUUCAUCGUCACACGGAGCCCUACAGGGAGAGGAAUUCCCGCUGUCACUCUGACAUCAUAACGGCUCCGCCAACCAGUGACGGUGCUGCAUAGUCACCGCAGCAGCUCCCUCGAAUAAGCACCAUGGUAACGGGAAUAAUGACGAGGAAGUAAACGCUCGAAACAAGGAAGGGGUGGCGGUAAAUCUGAUUGGCCACCCGUUUUGAGCUUUGACAUGAUUUAACAUGUAGGAAACUGGUUUGUUUUCUACUAAAACAUGUUUUCUCUGUCCGCAUGUACUCAGUAUGUGUACAUGUACAUUCAAGUGCUCUGGUGCAUGACACAACUGCUGUAGGCAUAUGUAAGGGAAAGCAACGCAAAGCAAGUUUAAUUCUAAAGCACAAUCCAAGGACUAUUCAAGGCUUGACAUAAUGCAUUGAAAUAUAAAAAAAGGAAAGAACAGAAUAAAAACAUUAAAGUGCAAAGUGGAGAAAGAAAGAAGAGAUAUAAUUACAGGAAAUGAGAGCAAAAAGUAUUCAUUAUGAGUAUUUAAGCUUCAUUCAAAGGCAGACCUGAAUUUAAAAGUGGUCAAGUUCAAGGCUAAUCAUCCUUUGGACGUUUUCUUCCACGCAGUACCUAAAUGCUACUUCUCCAUGUUUAGUUUGCACUCUGUAGUUUGCACAGUUAGCAGCCCCUCCACCUGAUAACCUGAAAGGUGGAGAGGGUCGAUAGUAAAAAAAAAAAAGAUGUGUUUUGGUCCUAAGUCACUGAGAGAUUUAGAGACAAGCAGCAGUACUUUAAAUUCUAUUUUCUGACGCGUUGGAAGCGAGUGCAGAGGCCUGAGAGAUGGUGUGAUGCGUUCAAUUUUCUUGGUCUUUGUUAAGAUAAGAUGAAACUUUAUUCAUCCACUCAGAUUCUAGCAGCAGCUUGGGGGGAGACCUGAGAAAUGACAGUUAUCUAACCUGCUAGAAAUUAAAUAAUGGAUAUGUUUUUCUGUAUAUAAGUCUGUUUGUGUGUCUGUAGAGACUGGAAUAUAACCCACAUUUGUUUAUUAUUAUUAUUAUUAUUGUUGUUGUUGUUUUUGUUGUUGUUGUUGUAGCAACCCCACAACAAUGGACGUGGUAGGGUUUUUACUAAAGCAAAAUAACUUGUUUCACAGAUGGAAAGUUACCAAGUACAUUCCCUCAUGUACUGUAGGUUACUUAAGUACACGUUGGAGUUUAAUUGUGCUUUACUUGACAAUCUAUUUUUUCAUGCCACUCUUAUAGUUAACUACAUUUCAGAGGGAAAAGUUAUACUUUUUACUGAAUUACAUUUAUUUCAGAGCUUUAGUUAAUCUAAAUAAGUAGUGUAUUAGUAUUCAUACAUUUAAAGCAAAGGAUCUGACAACUUCUUGCACCACUGCUUGUUUCUGAUUGUAGCAGACAGGGCAUCAUGGUUACAGGGCAAAGGAAAAAGGACUGCAUAUAAGUGUGUGUUAGGUUAUGCCCAUGAGUUCUGAAUGUGCAACAUGCUUUUUAUCAUUAUGAAUUCAUUGAUUUUAUAAUCUUUCAUAUCAGUGGCAAUUAUGGGUCUCAAUUAUUACCGAACUACCGUAUAUUUGUCUAAAUAAACAGUAUAUAAAUGUGAUGUUUACUGUAUAAUUCAGAACAUUACAGGAAUUAAAAUGGAGGUGUUUGCGACUGAG